CUUCCGUAGGUGAACCUGCGGAAGGAUCAUUACCGAGUGCGGGAACCCAGUCGGGUCCCAAUCUCCCACCUGUGUCUACCACACCUAGUGUUGCUUUGGCGGGCCCACUCCUCCGGUGUUCCGCCGGGGGGGUCGUCCCGGGGCGCGGUGUGCCCCAGGGCCCUAGCCAACCCUAUGCACUCACUGUCAACUCUUUUGUGAAUGCGAGAAUUGUCUGGCUGACGAAAUGCAAUCUUUCAAACUUUCAACCAUGGAUUCUCUUGGUUCCUGCAUCGAUGAUAACCAGCUUA
rnacentral:misc_RNA from 1 species